UACGAAGGGUGCAAACGUUGCUCGGAAUCAUUGGGCGUAAAGCGCACGUAGGCGGCUCCGCAAGUCGGAUGUGAAAUCCCUCGGCUCAACCGAGGACGUGCAUCCGAAACUGCGGAGCUUGAGUACUGAAGAGGAUCGCGGAAUUCCCGGUGUAGAGGUGAAAUUCGUAGAUAUCGGGAGGAACACCAGUGGCGAAGGCGGCGAUCUGGGCAGUUACUGACGCUGAGGUGCGAAAGCGUGGGGAGCAAACAGG
rnacentral:rRNA from 1 species